UGAACGCUGGCGGCGGUGCCUAACACAUGCAAGUCGAACGGGCUUAUCUCCGCGGAGAUUCGGUCAAGCGGGUUAAGUUAGUGGCGGACGGGUGAGUAACGCGUGGAGAACCUGCCCUGUACCGGGGGAUAACAGCCGGAAACGGCUGCUAAUACCGCAUAAGCGCACGAAGGCGCAUGCCUUUGUGUGAAAAAACUCCGGUGGUACAGGAUGGCUCCGCGUUGGAUUAGCCAGUUGGCGGGGUAACGGCCCACCAAAGCGACGAUCCAUAGCCGGCCUGAGAGGGUGGACGGCCACAUUGGGACUGAGACACGGCCCAGACUCCUACGGGAGGCAGCAGUGGGGAAUAUUGCACAAUGGGGGAAACCCUGAUGCAGCCGACGCCGCGUGAAGGAAGAAGUAUCUCGGUAUGUAAACUUCUAUCAGCAGGGAAGAUGAUGACGGUACCUGACUAAGAAGCCCCGGCUAACUACGUGCCAGCAGCGGC
rnacentral:rRNA from 1 species